GCAUCCCCGUCUCCCUCGGUCCCUCCUUCCCGGUCCGCCCCCCCACGCCUUUCGACGGUUCCUCCGCCACGCUCUCGCUCUGCAGCCCCGCUCUUGCGACCCUCCUCCGCCAGCUCUCCUCGGCGCCGAGCGCUCCGCCGCCCCACUCUCGCACCGGCGGCCCUUGACCUGGGACACGGCGAGCUGACCCGCGCGCUCCUCCUCCUCCGCCAGCUCUUCUCGGCGCCGAUGCUCCGCCGGCCUGCGCUCCUCGGCCCCACGCUCACGCCGGCCCGCUGGAGACCCGGUGUGGCGGCCCUUGACCUGAGAUACGGCGAGCCGACCCGUGCGUCCCUCCUCGCUCCGCCGACCCGCGCGCGCCGAGGCCGUCAUGGCGCUCUGCUCCGACGUCACCUCGCCCCAGUCCGGCAUGACAGCCGCGCCUCCUCGCCGACUUCGCGUCGCCGCUCGGUCCCGCCCACCGCGCCUUCCGCGCCCUCACCGGAUCGCGUGCUCGACGGCGCGCUGCCGCCGCCUCUGCUUGGCUGACCGGGGCAGGACGCCUCCCUCCCCUCCGGCGCCCUCACGCUCCACUGCGCCGCACCAGCGCCUCACCCUCCACUGCACCUCGACUUCGCCCGGUGGCUGCUCGUCCCGCCCGUUCCCUUUGCCAAGCGGGGACGCCUCUCCACCCUUGCAGUGGUCACCAAAUGGCUCCAGAGAGGUUAUGAAUUUGCUCCUUGAGUACAAACUCAGUCGAUGAGAGGUGAUAUAAUCAAAUUAGUUUGGGUAUUGAUUGGUCUCUUGAAAUAUCAAAACACCAAGAGGAUGUCAUGUUACCUAGCUUGAGUGAAUAUAUAAAUCCGUCAGAGAAGACGAAGUGGCGCGAGCCCAACUGCUGCCGCUGCAGCAAGGACAAGAUGGGCAAGGUCAAGAACUCCGUGUAGAUUACUGAAUGCACACCACGUUUGUUGCCGGAAUUGGUGUGCAGUUGCUAGAGUGAAGAUUCCCCGUAACACCAUCCUCCUGGUCUCCAAUGUCACAGUCUACCCACCAGGUGUUCGAUUUAAUGCUUAUAAUAGGAUACUAUUCUCCGGUAAUAUUUUUCUGUGUCAUAAUUUGUAAAAAGGUGUAUCACAUGUUUAGUAGCACUGUGGACUUCCAGGGAUGAGAUAAAGGAGGUCAUAAACAAGGUAGGAAAAGAGGAUGAUAUCAGAGAGGUGUCAAGUGAUGAGAUGGAAUUUUUCCUUGUUCAUGAGUUGUGGUUCACUUCUCUAACACAAGAUGAGUGUGCAACUAACAAAUCUCAGUCGGUUCGUGUUAUCAUAUUGAUCUCUUUGACAUUAGCUUGUUGAAAGAACAAAAUAAUCCUUCAGUUUCAGAUUGUGGUUUGUAUAAUUUUUUCCUCUAUAGAUUAAUUUGAGAUAUUCAUUGAAAACUAGGAUAUUCUGUACCAAUUGCUAAACUGAAUUGGAGAACUGUUGUUUUUCUGCACAGCAAUGCAAAUAUCCUGGUGCUCUUUUGGGACAAGUGUUGUUUCUAUGAAGAGAAAUGAAAAAACUACUUCAAAUACACUAUAUAGGAAAGAAAUGGUUGCAUAUGGCAAUGGAUUUUACCUUGCUAUGGUUGAUGUGAAUGAAAGAGUUUCUGGGAAUUGGAGCCGGUCCAAAGUUCUAUUGCACUUGAUCUGCUAUAAGGUUUGGAGUUCUGUUGGUGUUGAGCCAUCCCUUUUUUUUGAUAAUAUAGUUACAUCCAUGUUUGAAUAGAAGCAAGAGCUUGUCAAUGAGUUAUUAGAACCUACAACUCACAUCUGGAAACAUAUUUCAAGUAGAUAGAGCUUGUCAAGGAUAAGGUCAGUCACUCUGUUUAUCUGGAUGCUUUUUAAGCACGAUUCUUUUGAGUUUUAGAUAUCGAUAGACAAGCUCAGUAUUUUCAUGGUAAAUGUAAUGUAUUAUUUGCCUACACUGAAUAGUGUUAGAUCAGUUGCAAAGCAAAAUAAAUGCUAAAUCCUUUGAGAAUAUGUAGAAUUGUAUUUCCACUUUCCUCUUAUUUUUUUGGGCUAAGAGAAUCUCUAAUAUUUGAAAACAACAAACAAGCAGUUUGAGAACAUUGUCUGAUACAAUUGUUCAAAACUUUCAGAAACUAAAUUGUCAGGUGAACCUUUGGUUUCUUUUUCCUCUUUCUGUGAUCCUCAAUUAUUUCUUGAAGUUAAUGCGUUGUGUGCCCUUAGAGUUUCAUGAUCAAAUCAUAUAUUGUUCCUAUCUUUCUGGGCAAGGCAAACAUCAGUUUUCAUUAACCAAAUAUCUCAAUGAAUGUGCGGUCUAAUUCAUCUGUCAAUAGUUCAAUGCAUUGUAGGCUCACGUUGCCUCUCCAAGCUUCGACGUGCCAGCUCGACAGCUUGUCCUUCUGGUUCGACAGCCAACAGGACAAGUCCAAACAGGCGGGCAUCGGGCAGAGCUCCAUUCAGGCAGUUUGAUAGCCGCAUGAAGGGGAUUAGAGUGGCAUCUUAUUGUUCCGGUGGAAAAGGAAAUAAAGAGAACUCCGAAGUGCUAACAAUAAUGCUAACUGGGGAAUUUGUUUCGUCUGUAGCAAGGUAUGGGCACAAAACUACUUGAAUUCCUGCAUGUUCAUUGAUAUAGAUGAAUGUAUGGAAUCGAGCAUGAUCAAUACUAUUUCUCCAGCUGGUUACACAUCAAACUUGCAAAAAUUUCAUUCUUGUA